CGGGGUGUAGCGCAGCUUGGUAGCGCGCUUCGUUCGGGACGAAGAGGUCGCUGGUUCGAAUCCAGUCACCCCGA
rnacentral:tRNA from 1 species